AUGAAGCCCCUACUGAGAAAGAGCUGUGGGAGUAACAGAGGGCUGCCCAUAAAUCUGCAGGUGUCACCUCUUUGUUCAUCUGGGAAACGGCCCUGUAAUGCCUCCUGUAUCUUCCAGGCAAAGACCACAGGAGAUCCUACCAUGAAUGCAGUCUGUAGCACAAAUUGCAUUUCAAAUGUACCAGUCCUUCUAGAUUACUCCGAAACCCCUUCACACCUUUCUAUCCUCUAUGACCUACCCCCAUCUUCUGACUAA
rnacentral:lncRNA from 12 species